rnacentral:misc_RNA from 1 species
UAUUUGACUUUUAUGAAUUUUUUUGCACUUCACCAAACUCAGGCACGUGCUUGCGCCCUGUGCCUUGUGCAUAGGCUCUAAGACCCCUUGGCGCCUUAGUGCGCUUUGCGCAUUUAAUAACUAUGUCUAUGAGGCUUGAGAAAUGACUGAAAAUGAAAAAGCAGAAACGAGGAAUAGGUGAAGAAGAUGAAUGGAUGGGAAGAUGACUAAAUGAGGGGAAAUCAUAUUAUGUGGGUAUGAGGAAGAAGUGAAGAAACUAAUAAGAUGUUAGAUGAGAGAGCAAAAACGAAGAAAGCAUUUUUAAUCAAUAAUGAAAGAGUUGAGGAGAGAAAAAGAGUUUUUUUAUAGGAGAAAAUAAAAACGAUGAAGCAUUGGAUAACAACUAGUAUGGUUCAGUUAGUUUGUUUUUUUCACUGAAUUAACUGAACAAAUCUGAACCCCCCCCCCUCCCCCGGCCCUUCCCCUUUUUAAAUUAACCAAAACCAAACUGAUCAACUGAAAAACUGAAUUAAAUCAUUGUGGUUUUUCAGUUAAAACCGAAUUCUGCUUACCCUUAGUUUGUACUUGUCUCUAAAGACCAGUGCCAAAUUUUUGUUCAUGACACAAACUUGAGAGAGGCAGGUCACAUGAAUAUCUGUGCUAUAUGGUCAAAGAAUCUUAUCAACUAUUGAAUAUGAUGGCUUUUGGUGGUUCUUCUAUUUGCUUUAUUUUUGGUAAUGUGACUAAUUGUUUGUUGGAUAAAUGUGACAGGCAGCUAGGAUGCGUUAUGUUUAUGAAAAUGAACCAUAUUGCCUGAAUUUGAUUGAUACUCCUGGGCAUGUAGACUUCUCAUAUGAGGUAUGUGAAUAUGAUAGGAGUUGUGCUUUUCCUUCAGUAUUGCAAAUCAUAUGCUUUAUAUUUAUGUAUGC